UCGACUGGUUUGCGCUAUCUCUUUCUAGCACAUUGUACCGAGAAACUAAGAUGACAUUAAGGUGUGAAUAUAGGCACGGAAGAGGAGGACAACUGUCGUAGCUUAAUAUGCGUAAGAGUGAAACAGCACUAAUCCAAAGAAAAAAGAUGGCGUCGUCACUUCGCUUUGAAUGACACUCUCUCUAUGUCAAUUUACCUCUAUGGACGUUUGCUGUGAUUGGCAGUCAUCGUCAUCGGAUUGCAUGAUUUGAGUUUCCACUAGACUUGUGUUAUGGACGGAUUUUACGGGCUGUGAUUGGUCGUAUUCAAAUCAAUGACAUUUGAUGACAUUUAAAAGAAAUACGUAAUCCUGUUUUCUCGUUUGUUUUUGUUUAUGCAGUGUGUUUAUGUUAUACAAAAGAAAAAUAUUGAUAUUUUAGUUAUUAAUCUUGGAUUUUGAGACUAUUUUAUACGUUUAUACUUGUUUAUUGUAUUCAUUUUUAAACAGCCAUAUUAUUUCCAGCAAAAGUUAUGGAACGUUUACAGAUACAUAGUAAUAUUUAUAAAAAAAAAAACAAAUUACUUUCUGCUUGCUUCCUAUAUUUUGUAAAUUUUUAAAGCUUCCUCCCAGACUCAUUUGAGUAUAAGGUGGUUCAUUUUUCCGAAAUAAAUGGAAAGGAUGGCGCAUUUAAUGCAGUGAUUUGAGCUAAUAUAACAACACAAGAAGAUGCUCAAAAUUGUCAAAAAGAAUAUGAAAAUAUUAAUAAAGUAAAUUUUAGAGUUCUAAGAACUUAUCCAAAUGAUUCUAUGAAGCUUGUUUUCAAGAAAGACUAUCGAUGCCAUCGCAAUACUCAGGCUAAUUUGCCUUCAUCAAAGACAAAAAAUCCGUCAUCUAAACAUGUUAACUGUCAGGCAUUCUUAAUAAUUACAGUGAAACCAUCAAGUAUGAAAAGGUAAAGUCUAUUUGCUAAUCUGAGACACAACUACUGUCUAGUGACGUUGGUAAUUUUUUUUGAGAAGUUAGGUUGCUAGAUGUAACUGGAAAAGACUACACAACCAAACAUAACUAAGUACUCAUAGCCAAUAUUAUUAUUAACAGUAAACAGGCAUAAAUAACAUAACAUACACCAUACACCAAUCAAUAAUUAUUUAUUUAAACCUUUAUAAUGUAUUGAUAACAGAUGAGAAAAGUAUUUAUUGUACAAAAUAAAAAUAUUUUAUAGAAAUAAAUUCCACAAAAUUUUA
rnacentral:lncRNA from 1 species